rnacentral:rRNA from 1 species
GACGAACGCUGGCGGCGUGCUUAACACAUGCAAGUCGAACGGAAAGGCCCCCACUUUUUUGGUGGGGGUGCUCGAGUGGCGAACGGGUGAGUAACACGUGGGUGAUCUGCCCUGUACUUCGGGAUAAGCUUGGGAAACUGGGUCUAAUACCGGAUAGGACCAUGGUUUAGUGUCUCAUGGUGGAAAAAUUAUUGUUUUGGUGCAGGAUGAGCUCGCGGCCUAUCAGCUUGUUGGUGGGGUAAUGGCCUACCAAGGCGUCGACGGGUAGCCGGCCUGGGAGGGUGGACGGCCACAUUGGGACUGAGAUACGGCCCAGACUCCUACGGGAGGCAGCAGUGGGGAAUAUUGCACAAUGGGCGCAAGCCUGAUGCAGCGACGCCGCGUGGGGGAUGACGGCCUUCGGGUUGUAAACUCCUUUCGUUAGGGACGAAGCCGCACCUUUUUUGGGUGUGGUGACGGUACCUUUGUUAAGAAGCACCGGCUAACUACGUG